rnacentral:tRNA from 1 species
GGAUAGCUCAGUUGGUUAGAGCGUGGUGCCAUUAAGGCCAAGGUUGCAGGUUCGAUGCCCGUAUGGAACA